AGAGUUUGAUCCUGGCUCAGAACGAACGCUGGCGGCGUGCUUAACACAUGCAAGUCGAACGUGAUCCAGAGCUUGCUCUGGUGAAAGUGGCGCACGGGUGAGUAACGCGUGGAUAACCUGCCCUGGUAUCUGGGAUAACAUCUCGAAAGGGGUGCUAAUACCGGAUAAGCCCACGGUCUCUUCGGAGAGUGCGGGAAAAGGGGGCCUCUGUAUAUGCUCCUGUCGCUAGAUGAGUCCGCGGCCCAUUAGCUAGUUGGUAGGGUAAUGGCCUACCAAGGCUACGAUGGGUAGCUGGUCUGAGAGGAUGAUCAGCCACACUGGAACUGAGACACGGUCCAGACUCCUACGGGAGGCAGCAGUGGGGAAUUUUGCGCAAUGGGGGAAACCCUGACGCAGCAACGCCGCGUGAGUGAUGAAGGCUUUCGGGUCGUAAAGCUCUGUCGGAGGGGAAGAAAUGGAAACGGUUAAUACCCGUUUUUCUUGACGGUACCCUCAAAGGAAGCACCGGCUAACUCCGUGCCAGCAGCCGCGGUAAUAC
rnacentral:rRNA from 2 species